GCCGGGGUGCCCGAGCGGACUAAGGGGCUGGCCUGGAGAGCCAGUGGGGGUCUCCCCCGCGCGGGUUCAAAUCCCGCCCCCGGCG
rnacentral:tRNA from 2 species